GCGCCCGUAGCUCAAUUGGAUAGAGCAUCUGACUACGAAUCAGAAGGUUGUAGGUUCGACUCCUGUCGGGCGCACCA
rnacentral:tRNA from 1 species